ACUCUAGUCCGACUUUGUGAAGAGACAUGGCGGGUGUAGCAGUAAGUGGGAGACUCGGUGUCUGCUGCCGGGUACGACAAUGAAAGACCACUCCCAUCAUUGUUUCUUUACUUAUUCAGUGAGGCGGGAUAGGCAGCAAUGUGUAUGGAAAUAGUUGCAUUGGCAUUAAAGCACGUGCCGGCGUGUGGGGCUUCAUUAUCGAUAUGAAAAAGAGUUGGGAGACUGGU
rnacentral:ncRNA from 1 species